GGAGUUGUAGCUCAGUGGUAGAGCACUUGCCUAGCACAUGUGAGGUACUAAGUUUGAUCCUUAGCACCACCA
rfam:Ictidomys tridecemlineatus contig054461, whole genome shotgun sequence.